GAUAAACGCUGGCGGCAUGCCUAACACAUGCAAGUCGAACGGGAUCCAGCCUUCGGGUUGGUGAGAGUGGCGGACGGGUGAGUAACGCGUGGGAACCUGCCCAUUGGUCUGGGAUAACUGCGGGAAACUGCAGCUAAUACCGGAUGUACCCGAGAGGGGAAAGAUUUAUCGCCGAUGGAGGGGCCCGCGUCAGAUUAGGUAGUUGGUGAGGUAACGGCUCACCAAGCCUACGAUCUGUAGCUGGUCUGAGAGGAUGAUCAGCCACACUGGGACUGAGAUACGGCCCAGACUCCUACGGGAGGCAGCAGUGGGGAAUAUUGGACAAUGGGGGGCAACCCUGAUCCAGCAAUGCCGCGUGAGUGAUGAAGGCCUUAGGGUUGUAAAGCUCUUUUACCAGGGACGAUGAUGACGGUACCUGGAGAAUAAGCCCCGGCUAACUUCGUGCCAGCAGCCGCGGUAAU
rnacentral:rRNA from 1 species